rnacentral:rRNA from 1 species
GACGAACGCUGGCGGCGUGCUUAACACAUGCAAGUCGAACGAUGAACUUGGAGCUUGCUCUGGGGGAUUAGUGGCGAACGGGUGAGUAACACGUGAGUAACCUGCCCUGGACUCUGGGAUAACUUCGAGAAAUCGGAGCUAAUACCGGAUAGGACCUUGCACCGCAUGGUAUGGGGUGGAAAGUUUUUCGGUUUGGGAUGGACUCGCGGCCUAUCAGCUUGUUGGUGAGGUAACGGCUCACCAAGGCGUCGACGGGCAGCCGGCCUGAGAGGGUGACCGGCCACACUGGGACUGAGACACGGCCCAGACUCCUACGGGAGGCAGCAGUGGGGAAUAUUGCACAAUGGGCGCAAGCCUGAUGCAGCAACGCCGCGUGCGGGAUGACGGCCUUCGGGUUGUAAACCGCUUUUAGUAGGGAAGAAGCCUUCGGGUGACGGUACCUGCAGAAAAAGGACCGGCUAACUACGUGCCAGCCGCCGCCGUAACAC